GCCUUGGUAGUCUAAAGGCUUAGGACGCUCGCACGGAAUGCAAGAGAUCCGGGUUCGAUUCCCGGCCAAGGUA
rfam:Trachymyrmex cornetzi contig34908, whole genome shotgun sequence.